rnacentral:miRNA from 1 species
UUGGCACUGGAAGAAUUCACAA